rnacentral:lncRNA from 1 species
AAGCAGAAGGCAGAGCCCUGGGGUGACUCAGGUGUGACGUUGCCAAGGUGCCAAAGAUGAGAAGUGGCAGAGCUGGCACCAGGACCUGGUCUCCGUGUUUCCCCCACUGCCCUGGGCUGGGGGAAAGCACCUCUGGAAGGGCAGGGAUCCAGAUGAGCAGGAAACACUGUGGACUUCCUUUCUCUAGAGGCCUCUCAGAAUGAAUAAAAGCCAGGGAUCCAUCUUUGUCCGGAUACACGCCCCGUGGCAGGUGCUGGCCAGAGAGGCAGAAUUCUUGAAGAUCAAAGUUCCUACCAAGAAAAUGUACGAGAUCAAAGCAGGAGGCAGCAUUGCAAAGAAGUUCAGCGCGGCUCUGCAGAAGCUGAGCUCGCACCUGCAGCCCCGAGUUCCAGAACACAGCAACAACAAGAUGAAAAACCUCUCCUACCCAUUCUCCAGGGAGAAGAUGUACCUGUACAACAUCCAGGAAAAGGACACCUUCUUUGAUAAUGCCACCCGCAGCCGCAUUGUGCACGAGAUCCUGA